UAUUCAUUAUCCAAACGACCGCCAACCCAAAGUUUUAUAAAGGACCAAACUUGGCGUCUAGCUAUUGUAGCAGCGUACAAGUUGCGAUAGUUUUUAAAAAAAGGGCAACACUAAUAAGAGACUUCAGAAGAAUCAUUAUUUCAACAACUCCAAAGCCUAGUAAUCUUCAUUCAAGAUUGAUUGUUUUUGAACGUGUUUGGAUGUUGUUUGAUAAAUUGGAGCAUACGUGAGCUCAAUUUAAAGAAAUUGAGGUAAUAUUUCCACAAUCACAGCAAUUGAUUUCUAUAGUUUUCAAUUGGGAAAACUUGCUUCUGGUUGUAUUACAGCAUACUGAACUGAGAGGAUGAAAAAUACAGUGAAUGUAUCUCCAGAAAUCAUUCACAUACCUGAAAAGCCAUCCUUUCUUCCUCACCUCCAACCCACAGUCAACAUGCUUGCUGCUGUCAUUGAACCCAAAGAUGCCAAUACUCUAGUCAGGAAGUUGAAUCACAUUGCUCCAUUGGAAAAUUUGCAGCAUGUGAAGCGUGUGCAGAAGAAGUGCAUUGAUGGAGGGAAACCUCAAUUAUCUCUGCUGUUAUCUGUGGCUGCUGAAACUGAUGUUGUGGUUCUUGAGCUUGUCAAAUCGUACCAAUUGAGUACUUUCAUCACAAGAGUUUGCAAAUAUGCUGCAACAUCAAAAGAAGAAUGGGAAGAACAGUGCAAGCUCUGGCCUACUUCGUAUCAUCCGCCAACCUACAAUAUCAGUGGCAUAACUGGAUUUAGUGAAGAGGACUCGCAAUCAAUUUUCGGUUUCAUGAGACAUACCAUUGAUUUGGCAACAUCUUCUGUUGUUGGUCAGGUGGUCAAUGCUGCUGUUAUUGUAGAUCCUUCAACUAAGCAGGUAAUUGCCAGUGCUUGUGAUCAGGUAAUAUCCUCAGCCAGUCUUGCAAAUGAGGUCAGCAAGGAACGUAGCUGCUCUAACUAUCUAAAAAAUCUCAACCAGCAAAGAUUGCUUUUGGACCGUUCAAUUGGUGAAUUUAAACAUAUAAUCAAUAAUGUUGCUUGUGUACAUCCUUGGCGAUGGGCACUGCAAAGCUCUGGUUGCUGGCAUCCUUUGCGGCAUGCGGCUAUUGUAGCCAUUGAAUAUUCUGCUGCCAGGGAUCGACAACUUUUUCCUGAUUACAAAGCGCUAUGUCAUUUGGAGUCUGACAUCCAAACUAAUGGCCAUAGUUCUGAAUCCCUUAGACCUUAUCUAUGCACUGGAUGUGACAUUUACCUGGCUUGGGAGCCAUGUGCAAUGUGCGCAAUGGCGCUUGUCCAUCAAAGAGUUAGACGGAUAUUUUUUUCUUCCGCAAACUCCAAUGCUGGUGCACUAGGAAGUGUUCACAGAUUGCAAGGGGAGCGGAGCUUGAAUCACCAUUAUGGUGUUUUCAGGGUACUGCUGCCUGAGGUGGUAAAGUUGGUAGAUUCAAAGACUGCUGGAAGUGGUUGAAGCAAAUACUAAUCAGCUUUUCAAGAGGUUAGGUCAUAUGAGACUUAGUUUAGUCAGAUAAAUAUUAAAGGGCAGCGGGGUGCACUAAGCUCGCGCUAUGCGCAGAGUCCGGGAAGGGCUGUACCACAAGGGUCUAUUGUACGCAGCCUUACCCUGCAUUUCUGCAAGAGGUUGUUUCCACAGCUCGAACCUGUGACCUGGUCACAUGGCAGCAACUUUACCAGUUACGCCAAGGCUAUAUUAACGUGCAUAAUUCUCCAUGACAUGUACUCGAUCUCCCUUCUUAUGUAUAUGCAAGAAACCAAUUUCAGAGAGCCAAGAAGAAGAUUGGGAGGACAAUAAUAAUGUCUAGCAGAUUUUGAAUUUCUUUAUGGUGAAGUUCUCAAGGCCGAGAAGCUCGGGGAUUGAAUACCCCUAUGUUCCAAGUGACUAGCUUGGCUGGUGAUGCGUUCACCCACUUGCACUCUUCCUUGCAAGCACGAAAUCCUUAGUUCGCCCGCUACCACACGGGCCGGUGUACUCUUAUCGCUAACCCCGAGGAGGCACGAAGAGCUAACAAAGAGUCUUUCUAUUUGACUGUUCGAAAUCAGGUGGGAGAGGCUUUGGGUCCUCCUACUACAAGACAUUUUCAAGAGCUUUCAAAAGCUUUUCGUAUGAAGUUUACCUGGUCAAUAAGAGGGGGGUACUUUCAAUGAGAAGAAUAUCAGAGAGGUGCUUAUCAGUCGGUUCGUUUUGGUUUUGUGCAUUAUCAGUUUCAUUUAUUGAUUUUUAAUUUUUAAACACGCUUAACCAAUAAGAUAUUCGUUAUCUGUUUUCGCUUAAUAGACUUAGGGUCCAUAACGGUUCGAUUUUUUGUUUAACCGAUAAGAAAAUGGUCUAUGUUUAUUUGA